GCCCCGUGUAUAUUAUGUUAGACCAUGUGAAGGUAACGCCCAAAGUGUAGUGUGUUAGACCACACAAAGGUAACUUUGACCAUGUGAAGGUAACUUAGACCAUGUGACGGUAACUUAGACCAUGUGAAGGUAACGGGGCCCAAGUAUUUUGGGGUAGACCACAUGAAGGUAACUUACAGCAUGUGAAGGUAACGUCCCAAGUAUAUUGUAAGACCGCAAGAAGAUAACAGACCAUGUAAAGGUAACUUAGACCAUGAAGGUAACAGGCCAUGUGAUGCACUGUCUACUGCAACACCAGGGAUGUCACUGUAUUUCAGAGCUCAGGACAAAUUCUUCAAGUGUGGAAGCCGAUACAUUUGUUUUUGUAUUGUAUUCAGUAUUUCUAGUUCAUUAUACAAGUAUUAGCUGAGCUUAUUUGCCAAAGAAAUGUUCAGAUGUUUUAGUACUGAAAGGUAGUCCUUAAUAAUAUAAGAUACUGAUGUUUAUGGAGGAAAGUUUCAGAUGACACUCAUGUUAUGAAUUGACAUGUAUAAGAAAUUAUGCAAAGAUGCAAAAUUCUUGCUCAAAAAAACUAUUUUCUUGAGGGGGCACGGGUGGCUCAGUCGUCUAAGGCGCCCUGAUUCGCUGUGCAGAGUUGCGUCCCUUGGGCACGCCAGAAACCUAUGAUUGUGGGUUCGAAUCCCGGUUCGCCCCGAUUAUGUUUCUAGGUUUGUCAGCACCAUACCCGUGCUCGUGGGUUUCACCAAAGUGGUAAAUGUCUGAGACCUGCAUCACUUCGGGCUUUCCUCCCACAUUAAGCUUACACGCCGCUAUAUAACUGGAAUACUGUUAAAAGCAGCUUUAAACCCAACUCACUCACUAUUUUCUUGAAUUGUUAUGAACAAAAUUCAAAUUCCAAUGUGGGUGCUAUGUAGGCUCCAAGGUGUGCUACACCAUGUUUAUGGAGGCCUAACGCAAGAAGGUGCUAAACAAUACGCAAUUUAUUGUCCUAAUUUCAACAAGUUUUACACAGUUCCUCUUGUUUUUCAGACGGGUUCAUUCAUAAGGGCAGGCAAACGGGCAAACUACUAUGUUUAUAGUCUGGUGGUGUGUUUCAACUACCUCUAUUGAGA